CUUGCUGCCCUAUACCUCUCCUUCUUUCAGAUAAUUUUUUCUGGUGCGCCUGAGGUCCUUUAAAUAGCCUUCUUAGCCCCCCGCUCCCCCCAUGUUGCAUCGCACGUCUCAGGCCAUGCAUUCACGCAUUGAAAACUCGUCUUAGGCCAUUAAGCCAUUUUAACCCGCUCUCUGUUCUCGCGAGCUGCCUUCACGUGCUAUGAAGAUCGAACCACUCGAAGACCCAGGCGCCCGUGUGCGUUUUAAUUCGAGUGCCCGC
rnacentral:lncRNA from 1 species